rnacentral:rRNA from 1 species
UACGUAGGGUCCAAGCGUUAUCCGGAUUUACUGGGCGUAAAGAGUGUGUAGGCGGUCUGUUAAGUGGGGUGUGAAAUGCUGGGGCUCAACUCCAGCGCUAUGCUCCAAACUGACAGACUAGAGUACUGAAGAGGCAGGCGGAAUUGAUAGUGUAGGGGUGAAAUCCGUAGAUAUUAUCAAGAACACCAAUGGCGAAGGCAGCCUGCUGGGCAGUUACUGACGCUCAGGCGCGACAGCGUGGGGAGCAAACAGG